UACGUAGGGUCCGAGCGUUGUCCGGAAUUACUGGGCGUAAAGAGCUCGUAGGUGGUUUGUCGCGUUGUUCGUGAAAACUCACAGCUUAACUGUGGGCGUGCGGGCGAUACGGGCAGACUUGAGUACUGCAGGGGAGACUGGAAUUCCUGGUGUAGCGGUGAAAUGCGCAGAUAUCAGGAGGAACACCGGUGGCGAAGGCGGGUCUCUGGGCAAUAACUGACGCUGAGGAGCGAAAGCGUGGGGAGCGAACAGG
rnacentral:rRNA from 1 species